UCUCCGUUGGUGAACCAGCGGAGGGAUCAUUACUGAGUCAUUCUACCUCCAAACCCCCUUGAACCUAUCCUUUUACUGCUUCUUCGGCGGGUUAACGCCCCGCAACGCGCGCCCCGGCAACCGGACCCAGGCCCCCGCCGGGGAACCCUAACUUGUUAUUGUUUCUUUCAGUAUGUCAGACUGACAACUAAAACAAAAGUAUCAAAAAUUUCAACAACGGAUCUCUUGGCUAUGGCAUCGAUGAAAAACGCAACAGACCGGAGGCGCAAAUCCAUGAAC
rnacentral:misc_RNA from 1 species